rnacentral:tRNA from 1 species
GGAUGCGUGCCUGAGAGGCCGAAAGGACGCGGCUGUAAACCGCGCGACACAGUCCACGCAGGUUCGAAUCCUGCCGCAUCCACGA